rnacentral:lncRNA from 1 species
GGGAGAACUGCGCUCUCCUGUGGCGAUCCAGACGGCCAGUGUGAAGAGAGAGCCCAGAAGAAAGCACACAGUAACCAGCCCACACUCCCAACCCUGCCACGCACCUCCAGAUCACCACCUCCCCAGAGCCCAGCAGAGCCUGGGCCAGGCUGCGGCCUCUCUCAAGAGUCCAGAUGCAUAAAAACCCACGUGUCCUGCACACACUUACGAGGAAUCUUAAAUUUAAGUACCACAGACAAUCCAGCUAGCCGUGGGAUCUCACCAAAGUUCUCAGGACUUAAAUGGUUAAACCGCACACCGGCACUAACACUGGACUUUUAGCAGAAGCAUCUAGAUGCAGUUCUUCGUCUGGGAAGGCUUUUUAUGACCACUGAGGUAAGCAGAGUGGGAUGUGUUCUUAAUAGCAANNNNNNNNNNNNNNNNNNNNNNNNNNNNNNNNNNNNNNNNNNNNNNNNNNNNNNNNNNNNNNNNNNNNNNNNNNNNNNNNNNNNNNNNNNNNNNNNNNNNNNNNNNNNNNNNNNNNNNNNNNNNNNNNNNNNNNNNNNNNNNNNNNNNNNNNNNNNNNNNNNNNNNNNNNNNNNNNNNNNNNNNNNNNNNNNNNNNNNNNNNNNNNNNNNNNNNNNNNNNNNNNNNNNNNNNNNNNNNNNNNNNNNNNNNNNNNNNNNNNNNNNNNNNNNNNNNNNNNNNNNNNNNNNNNNNNNNNNNNNNNNNNNNNNNNNNNNNNNNNNNNNNNNNNNNNNNNNNNGGAAAGCACAGGCAGCGUCACCCCUGGUAACUUCCUGGUUCCUGGGAGAACUGCGCUCUCCUGUGGCGAUCCAGACGGCCAGUGUGAAGAGAGAGCCCAGAAGAAAGCACACAGUAACCAGCCCACACUCCCAACCCUGCCACGCACCUCCAGAUCACCACCUCCCCAGAGCCCAGCAGAGCCUGGGCCAGGCUGCGGCCUCUCUCAAGAGUCCAGAUGCAUAAAAACCCACGUGUCCUGCACACACUUACGAGGAAUCUUAAAUUUAAGUACCACAGACAAUCCAGCUAGCCGUGGGAUCUCACCAAAGUUCUCAGGACUUAAAUGGUUAAACCGCACACCGGCACUAACACUGGACUUUUAGCAGAAGCAUCUAGAUGCAGUUCUUCAUCUGGGAAGGCUUUUUAUGACCACUGAGGUAAGCAGAGUGGGAUGUGUUCUUAAUAGCAAAGAAACCUCUCCGGCGGUCUUGCUGGGGGGUGGGGGGGUCAUUAAGUGUAUUUCCUCUACUAAGUAAUUCAUGGAACUUCAGCCUUGGGAGGAAAACCUGCACUCCUACCAUUUAAAGCAGAAGAUCAUCUGGGGCUUUCCUGUUCUGCUACAGGGGAACUCUCCAGAAGGAGAAGGAUUGGGACAUUGGGUCUCAUGGGCUUUGUUCCUCUGAAUGCCCAGUGAAGAGGAGACCGAGGACUGCAGAAACCACGAGUGGAUAGCAAAGCGCAGACGCCCUUACCAAGGGCACUCCAGGCUGGCCAAGGGCACUCGGGGCUGGAGGGGAAGGCUGUCCAAAAGUCACACGGUCGUAUUUGGAUUCUGUUUGACCUGGAGCAUAUUUUAGAUGAUUUGAGAGAAACGAAGCACGUGCUGCCUUCUAACACUACAAUCACAUGAGGGAGAUUGGAGUUUAGUAGAGACUAUUUACAGAAAAUAUCUCCAAAAUAUUUUCUGUGAGCUGAAACGUGAGUGGCAUUAGAAAGUUACAAGUAAAUGGGGUGGCGUUUGGGAAACAGAAAAUACACUUCCGACUGAGGGGGGUGGGUUGCAUUGUCAAAAAAACCUUAAUAGCACAAUUUGGUAGAUUUGUUCCCCAGUACUUUCCCACAUGCUCCCCUCUUCCGGAUCACAGGAUCACAGGUAUAAUUAUAAUGCACUAAUUAAAAUGAUUAUAGCAGGUAGAUCAGCACAGUAGAGGGCAUGGAUUGGGGAGGCAGUAAAGAUUUAUUUUCUCAUUAAUCUUUACUCCAAAAGUUAAUGAGAAAAACACUGAAAAAUAAAAAAGAACUCAUCCCAUUACGUGCGAAUUUUUACCUAAAAUACAGAAUGAUCCUAGGAUUCUCAAGAGGGCAGCGUAAAUCCUCAUGGAGACAGCCAAGUUUCACUUGAGGACCUAUUGAAAACCGCCAAGAUCCUUCAGAGCGGAUCCUAGGAGGGCCUUACUCUUCUUAAGCACAACUUGGAAGUCUGCAAACAUAACUGUAUUUUUUCUGGCCCUAUCUAUAGCUACACAGCCAGAUUUCCACUGAAGAUUAUUUGACUGGCACAGGGUUGUCUUAUGGGUUUUCUGGGUAGUAGAUCUCCAGACGAGAAUUUGUGUACACCUAGGUCACUGGGCAGGUGAGGAAAACAUGGCCGUAUGGGUAGGGACCUGAGGCGGGCAGCCAAGUGGCCACUAAAUUCUAGGUUAACCCAGUCACCACCAAGGGUCCCGGGGACUUCUGGGAGCCAGAGAAGAAGAGGUGCCCAGAGACGGCUCACCAAGGGGUGAAGCCCCAGCUGGGGUACAAAUGCACUAGCCCUCAGCAACAGCAGACUACACUUUCAGCCCGAGUUGGUUCCCAGUAAUUCCUCUCUGCUCUUCUGCAGGAGCCCCAAACUGGGUUCGGUGGCCAGAGGAAGCCCUCAGAUAAAAUAGUGCAGGGCCAGAGGGAGUUAGAACAGGGCCUUUUAAAAAAUAGUGCUAUUUGGUAAGUUUUUAUUGGUUCUUUUUACUUAUACAUAACAAAAGGAUUCAAUCUGACAUAAUUAUAAAAGCAUGAAAUAUGAUUUGUUCUAAUUCAGUGCCCAGUACUUCCCCUCCCCCUCUCCUCCCCCCUCCCUCUGUUCCCUUCCCUCCAUUCUAUUGAUCUUUCUUCUAUUUAUUUACAGUUUAGGUUUUUUUGAACUUAGUGUCUUGUGGAUGUACGUGAUGCUGAGCUCACUGUUAAAACCGUACAUGGAGAGUCAGCUCAGACGAAUCCCACUGUGUUUCCCUACCCCACACCUCUGCCCUUCCCUUCACUCCCUUUGUCUACUCCACUGAUCUUUCUUGCUGAGAAAUGGCCCCUGGCAUUUUGCCAAUAGUAUUGGUUGAGAGGCGAGCCAUUAAGAUGAUGCUGGAUUGAUUCAAUUGUGUAUUAGACCUUUACUGUCCGCCUCAGCCCGCUACUUUGGAGUUCUUGCGGGGAUUCCUGGAGAGUUCACGUUGGUUGGGGAAGUGCCGGAGCAGGGAUUUCCGAUUGGUGUGGUGUGUCCUGGGAGAAGGCCGCGUGCGUGGCGUUCUCGGGAGUGCGGAGAAUAAAGGAGUUCCUGUUUUGAACCUACAAGGCUGUGUGGCGGCUCGGUUAUUUUGUGCCCAGCCAGACUGCGGCACUUUCUUCUAUUUGUUUUUAUCCCCUCCUGUUUAUAUGGGAUUAGCUUCUGCAUACUAGAAAAGUUAUUCAACCUUUGAUUUGGGGAACUAGCUUAUUUCACUUAGCACGAUAGUCUCCAGUUCCGUGAAUCUACCAGCAAACGCCAUCAUUUCUUUUUGCUUUAUGGCUGAGUUAUGCUCCAUUGUGUACAUGCAAAGCAUAUUUUCUUUGUCCAUUCGUCUGUCAAAGGGCACCUGGGUUGGCUCCGCAGCUGGGCUACUGUGAACUGUGCUGCUAUACACAGUGGUGUGGCUGCGUCACCACAGUGUGCUGCUGUUGGAGCUUUGGAUGUGUACGGAGGGUGGGCAGCUAGUCUGGUGGUUCCACUCUUCUGAGGCUCUCCACACUGCUAGGAAUGGGGCCCUGAAGUGUUCACUGCAAGGACACCACUUGGCAGGACUGCAGCAGGCUCUGUGCUCAGGAGUGCAGUGCUGACAUGAUGACAUGAGAUGCUCGUGCCCCAGGCAAGGGGAAGCCCCUGCAAAGCAGCCCGUGGACCUCGUCCUCCAUGGCAAAGCCUUGGGAGUGAGCCGACUCCUCCACUCCCCUCUUCUGGUCACUCAAUAAAAGAACACAAGCAAUCCUAGAGUCAAGACCAGAAAGGCUUGGCCACAGCUGAGGUGAGCUCUGGCCUCAGUGACUGACACACCCGCUGCCAGAUGCCGUGGAAGCCUCCCCACUUGGUUAAGGCCAUUUAAGAAACUUGCAAAAAGUUAAUGCCAACAGAUCAGAAAACGUUACGCGGACGGAUUCUAAAGUUGUCCUAACAUGAAUUAUUAUGUCUGGAGUCUGGACCGGCUGUCCGAUGACCGCCCAGGGGUGCUCGCCUGGAAUGUCAGUCCCAUGAGGACAGGGGUGUGCAUGGCUUUGCUCAGUCCCAACCAGCUCCUCUCCUGAGGAGAUAAAAUCCCACAGUGGUGAGGACUCCUAGUGGCUAGGACCUCACCACAGAGGCUGUAGAGGGAGGCAGGACCGAACAAAAACUGUUAUGCUCGAAUUCAGGACCCCCAAAAGACCACCAGAGACCAAGAUCAAUGUAAACAGUAAAGAGAUGUUUAUUGCGAGCUAGCUCAGUCCUACGCACGCACACAGCAACUGGUGACACUGAGAGGCCCCAAGCUCAGGGUUUGCAGCAGUUUUAUACAUUCUUUGGAGAAGGCAGGGACCCCCACAUACACCAUAGCAUCUCUUAGCAAAUCAUCACACACCGCGGGAAAAUCAAAUAACAACUCUAAAACAUGAUUAGCACAUUCACUGGCGGGAACAAGUUGGGUAGGGGUGAUUGGUUACUACAAGAGGGGGAUUCGUUUGAACUGAUUGGUUUAAGCCAAGAGGGGUGUUCAUGCUGAAUUUCAUGGUUUCCCAACACCAUAAACUACUGGGAGGGUCAUCUGGCAUCCCAGGUAUUUCCCUGUCUCAUGCUGAUUGGUGGCUGCUAGGGGAUUGGUAUGGGUCCCCCAUCUAGCCUGAGUUAGGGACACCUGGCACAGCAGAUCUCUCCUGUUAUUUGUAGAUAAACCACUUAGCAGGGUGGGAAUGUGCCUAGGAGUGCUCUGUGGGUCUUUCCAAGGACAAAGGUGAUGUCCCUCCCUUGGACAGGCUUUGCUCUGAGGUAGAGGCUGGUUUUUCAAAACCACCUAUUUUAGGACACGGGGUGAAGAAAGAAACCGGCAGAGGGGGACAGCUGUGUUUUCCACCUCCUGCUCUGCCCCUCAUGUCCCUGUGGCCAUGUGCUCUGGCUGGCCCAGCUGCAGGGAUGGGAGCAUUAAUAACAGCAAGUCAGAUAGCCCCUGGUGGAGGAGUGAGGUGAAGACCAGCAGAGGUCCACCACAGCGGCUCUCCCUUCUCCCCAGGCACUGGGGGGACACUGCUGUAGGUGCUAGCAUGUGGCAGUGGUGUCCAGGAGGAUGUGAAACAGAAAUGAAAUUCUCUGAAAUUCUCCUCAGUCUUCUAAUGCGGUGCUUUUCAAACUCUGGGAGAAGGGCUGGUUUUCUAUGUUUUAUUUUUUAAAUUUCAAACCUACAGUGGCAAAUAAUUUUGUAAAGUAUUAUUAAGAUGAAUUACUGCCAAAUAAAAUGAAAAAAUAUAUAUCUAAAAUAUAAACACAAGUUUAUUCCUGGCCUUAAUAUACAUCAAAUGGCUGUAACAUUUCUAAGCUUUCUUUGCUCUGAUGUAUUAUUUUAUAAUCUCCUUUUUAAAAUCGGUGGGGAGGAUUCGAAAAUCCAACAAUAAUAAAAACCGGUAAUCCAGUUAAAAACCAGGCAGAGAUCUGAGCAGAUGCCUCACCUGAGAGGGUAGGGAGAAGGUGGACAGGCCUGGAGAGAUGUUUAGCAUCAUGGGCCAGAAGGCAACUGUGAGUUAAAACAAUGCCACGCCAUUUGCACCUAUUAGAAUGACGAAAAUUUUUUAAAAUGUUGAAAAAGCAAAGUGAGUGCUGGUGAGGAUGCAAAGCAACUGGAACUCUUUCUCACUGCUCCUGAGAGGGCAAGUGAUCUCACCCAUUUGGAGGGCAGCUUGGCAGCUUCUUACAGAGCAGAACACAGCAAUCCCAGCGCUAGGUGGUUACCCAGCUGGCUCUAAAACACGUCCUCACAAACCCAGCAUGCCAAUGCCACGCACAUCCAUUCACAGUCACCAAAAGCCAGAAGCAACCGGGGUAGACAUCGGGCAGGUCCAUGGAGGAGCCAACUGUGGUCCCUUCACACAUGGCAACACGCAUAGCAAUCUCAGUAAUGAAGCAUCCAUUCACACCGAGGAAUGGCUGCUUCUUCAGUGUGCACAGCAAAGUGAAAGAAGCCAGGCUGGGAAAAGAUCCAGAAUGCACAUUCCAUUACACGACGGGGAGAUGCCAGAGACUGUGCAGGAAACGGAGGGUGGGGAGGGGAGCCAGGAUAGAUGGUCUAGUGUCCCACCCGUUCCCCCAGGACUCAACUCUUGGAGAUCCCGCGAAGACUUUUCCUUCUAACGUCCAUUUGUUUAAAGUCUAACAGAGCCUCUCCAAGUUUGUGCGGGAUGUGGAGCCCACUGGGAGUUCUCAUCCCACUUCUCUUUAUUAGGCUAGAAGUUUGGAAGAAGGGUGGAGGGCUCUGAGGACUGGCUGGAGCACACCAGGACGCCAAGUCUGGAAUCUACGGCUUCCAGCAUUUCUGGGCAAUUCUUAAAGGCCACUCAGCAGGCAUUUGGUCCUAGCAAAGAAAAGAAAAAGAUGAUGAUUACAUUAUUGGUUGAUGGGAAAAUGUGGUCAUCGGUGGAAAAGCAUCAACCAGUGAAGGCAGCAGGUCAGGAGAAGCAAGACCGCGCCAAGGAGAGCGAGACAGUCCGGGCACAAGCCAUCUUAGAUCCCCCACCAGUCUCCACUAGGGGCUUGAUUGAAAGACAUUGUAAAUUUGUGACAUAUACUGAUUAGGGCAGCUUGCCAAGUAGGUGUGGGCUGAACCCAUUAAUCAGUCAGCGAGGAGCUGAGUAUCGCUUUUAUUUCAUAUUUAAAAUCCAGAGAUGGAGGUGGGAUUCAGGGCCCUGGAGCCCUCUGCAGGAUGAGGCCCACUGCCACCAGCCUCUGUGUGGGUUCUGCCCUCUGGGUUCCCCAGGGCCAGCCAGCUCCGCCUCUGCCCGCUCCCUGUGGUUUGCUCACCCCGAAGUAGUUCAGGGGCUACUUUUAAUUAACUGGCAAAUUUGUCUCUCCACCUGCUCUGGCCACUCCCCUGAGACUGGCCACACUGGGGAGCCGAGCUCCAGCCCCGGGUGCUGUGGGCUUUGGCCCUAGUGACCCUGGGGUCAGUCUUCUCAGGAAAAUGUUACCAAGUGGAUCAGUGCACUCCACACUGCUUUUCUUGCCUGAUGAUAGACUUGUAAAACUGGAGGGAAUCUAAGAGAUUUCCCCACCCAAAACCUCCUGAUGAGGAAACUGAGGUGAGAGCCAUGAAUAACUUGUUCCAAGUUCGUGCCAUUUUGUGGGUGAGUCCCUCUUCCUGCCCUUUCCUCUUCACCCCCUGGUGAAUUCAGCCUCUGUGUCUAGCUGGCCUGGGUGCUGUGCCAGGCCACCUCCACCCUGCUGACCUAUGCCUCCCCAUCUUCCUGUCAAUCACUGCCCCCUCUUAUCCACACGGAUCAAUCUCCUAGACCUCACUCGCACUCUGUGGCCUUGUCCAGACCUCCGCUGCCCAGGACUUGCUGGGGAGCUCCCUCUGGACCUCCAUACUGCAGGGUGCCCAGUGUGUGAGAAAGAGAAAGGCCAGUGCUCCAUGUUCAAAAUACAGCCUGUAGCCUUCACUGGGUUGUAGGAUCCCAUGAUGGUCAUUCUCAUUACCGCCCUUACUCCGUCCGCCCCAAUUUUAAAAUGAGCCACCGGGUAGACUGCAACCCAGGCGCUCCUAUCAGGGAGAGGGCGCGCAGUGUCAGGGUAAAAGCCUCGGACCACCCCCCAGGGGUGCCUGCGUGCAGGUCUUCUCUCCUAGCUGUCCUUCUGGGCUUUGUCCCCAGCUGCUUCCCAGCGCAGGCUAGAGUCCUGGAGGCACGGUUGCCACCUCUCCUGCUCUUCCUCAUCCCCACCUCCACAGGCUGCUGCUGCGUGAUUCCAGACAUUCCCCUGCCACGGGUACUAGCUGCAUCGCUGCCUCCUAAGCCCCCUGGAUUCCCCCAGCUCAUGACCACCUCCACUGGCACUUCCUCCUGCCCCUCCCUCCUGCCCCUCCCUGCGGCCCCUCCUGAUGAGCAGCCCUUCUGGGUCUCAGGGUUCAGGUGGACUCUGCCCUCUUGCAGUGGCCAUUGAAAGCUGAUUCACAGGACGUGGAGCAGGGGGGUUCCACAGAGCUCCUCAAAAGAAAUGGAGCUGGCGGGAGCAGAGGAGGAGAACGUGCCCCCCAGUGCCUGAUGGGCAGCUCCGCUGCCCACUGCACCCGCACACACCAGCUCAGGAGCCCAGGGUCCACCGUGGUUCUUUGUUCCAUAGUCUUAACCUUUUAAUUCUAUGAAAAUUCUGGUAGCGUCGCUGUAGUGGCAACUGUCAGGUUUUAACAUUCCCUGUUUUCAGGUUUUAACAUUCCCUGGCUCCUCUCUGGCUUUACUCCCGGGGAAUGUGACACUUGCCCGUCAUCCCAGCUACUCCAAAGGCUGAGCAGGAGGAUCGCAAGUUCAAAGCCAGCCUGGAAAACGUAGCAAGACUCUGUCUCAAAAUAAAAAAUAGGAAGGGCUGGGGUGUGGGCUGGGGCUGGGGCUCAGCAGUGGAGCGCUGGCCUAGCACAUGUGAGGCCCUGGGUUCUAGCCUCAGCACCACAUAAAAAUAAAUAAAAUAAAGGUAUUGUGUGUGACUACAGCUAAAGAAAAUUAAUAACUAAAAAAAAGAAGGACUAGAGUGUAGCUCAGUGGUACAAAUCAGUACCACUCAAACCCGGUACCAAAAAUACAUAAAUACUCAAACGGCCUUACCACAGCCUAGUAAUCUAAGUCCAGUCUGAUGGGUUUCAGCAGACGAAUUUCUGACAUGCACCCACAGCCACGCUCAGACAACUGAGGGUCUUCCCAGUCACGCAGCCCAGGCCUCCCCUGGCCCCAGCCCCAUUGCCACCCCGGUUUGAUCUGCUUUUGGCCCCCCCCUAAUUUUUUCAAAUCCCUUCUUAGUGGGAUCAUGGUAACUCGCCACGUCCCAGCUGUGUGCGCCUCAGGUUGGAUUGCUGACCGUUCUUCCCACUUAUGAAGUUCCUGCUUCCCUUAUGCAGUGUCCAGUUGACGACAUGGACAUGGGUGGUUUGGGUUUUCACUAUGAUAAAUCACUUGGUUUGAAUGCAUACAGGUCUUAGAUGGACAUAUUCCUCAUGGGGAAAGGGCUAGAAUUGGGGUUGCUGAAUCAUGAAGUCAGUUUAUGUGAAACUUGAGACCAACUGCGGGACUGCUUUCUGAGGGCCUGCCGUUCUCCCAAAGCACCUAGAUGAGCGUGUGGUGGACUCCCAUCCACCCUUGCUUUGUGUUAAACAAUGGGCACUUAUCUCAGUUUCCAAGUAUAAGGAACUCAUGAGCAGGGUGAAUUGGGUGGCUCCGCGUGAACUGGCAGAGAAGCCACCUACCACGACUGCUGUCAUCUGGCAGCUUCAGUAUGGUGGCGGGUGGACCUGCACUAAAACUCCCUGGCGUGGCUGCUGUCCCUCACCACUCUGGCCUCUGUUAGAAAGCUACCUGUCACCCUGCAGCUGGCUUUCCCCAGAGUGAGUGACACAAGGAAGCACUGGUGUAAGUCACCUCUGUCACAUGAAGCAGCCCUGACGAGGAGCAGAGGACAGCACAAGGUUGUAAGUACCAGGAAGUAGGAGCAAUUUGGAGACCGUCUGGAAAGAGGGCUACCACGAAGUCUGUAAUGUCUGUCUAGAAUAUUGGGCCUGUGCCAGGGAUUCUACCACUUUCCAUCAACUAAGGCCCCUAUUCUAGACCAUUUCACAAAGUUAUUGGCUGUGUCUCAAGAACCAAAUCAACCCACGCCACAUUUUUGUCAAUGUCAUUUGGUUUUCCCAAUAACUUGAAGAAUACCACCCUAACUUGUGUCCCAUGAGAGGACUGAGCUGUCCCUUCUUCAGUCACUGGCCAUUGGCAAGCGCAGCACAGCCACCCUGGGAGGACAACUGGCCUCCAUGGGAAAGUGCUUUCUGUAAGGGAGGCUGCCUUGGUGUGGCCCUCCAGUAUCCUACGGGCACCCGAGUCCAGCUGUGGGUGUGGCCCUCCAGUGUCAAUCCUAUGGGCGCCCAAGUCCAGCUGUGGGUUAAAUCACUCAUCAGGGAGACUUAUUCCUGGCUCAGAGAUGGAACAGCCACUGGCUCCUGUUUGCCAUGGUUCCUUGGGUGGGUUCCCUGCCACAGAUUCCUGAACCCACCAUGCUUGUUUUCUUUGUUCAUUAGCUCUGAAGCAAUUCUAGGGAAUGACCUCCCUAUCAGAGUAAUUUUCUGACAUGGUCCAUUACAUGUAGAGUAUUUCAGGUCUCCACAAAAUUUGUGUCAUUUAGUAAUCGAGUCUCAAUCAGUGAUCAAUAACAGGAUUGUAGUUGUCUCUCAAAAAGAGGCUCUCUGGCAGCCACCUCAGGCCAUUUCCUAAUAUGAAAUAUUGAGUGGCCAUCACGGGUUGGCAAUCAAGGGCUUUUGUCAAACAUCCAGUCAGCGGAAGGACAUGUUGCUGACGUUUUUGAUAUCAUUUCUUCAAAUUAUUUUUAGAGAUUGCUUCAGGGAUUACAGCAUGCAUCUUUAAUUUAUCACAAACCUACUUAGAGUUAAUUUUUAAUUACUUCUGAUGAAAUGCAGAAGCCAUGCCACAGAAGUUCACAAAAUCGAGGAGAAGGAAAUGCAGGCGUAUUGACACACACGUGUGCACACACGUUUGCCAUUUCUGAUGCUCUCGCUUCUGUGUCGAGCAUCGAGUUGCUCUGGGGCAACGUUGUCCCUCGGUCUGAAAGGCUGUCUUUAGCACAUCCCAAGGAGCAAGUUGGCUGCGGGUGAAUUCUGCCGUUCAUCUGAAAGCGUCUGGACACUUCCGCAAUAGAAGAUGGUUUGGUGGAUAAGGAGUUCUCGGCCACAGCCUUUUUCCCUCGGCUGUUCUAAGUCUGUCCUUUCAGUCCACCAUCUGUCUUGCAUUGCUGCUGUUGGAACGCUGUCCAUUCACCUUAUCACUCUCCAUCUGCGUAUAAUGUCAUUUUCUUGCUGCUUUGAAGACUGGCUUAUUUGUUUCUUCCCUUCCUUUGGGGGUUUUGGGAAUUUGACUGUGAUGUGCUUAGUCUGGUUUCUUUGUUUAGUGUCUUCAGGAUUUAUUGAGCUCUGGGAUCUGGAAGUUAAAGAUUUUCAUCAAAUUUAGGCAUUUCAGCUAUUGUUUUGUUUUUCCCAAAAUAUUUUAUCUCCCAUUCUCUUUCCUAUCUUCUGAAGCUCCACUUUUACAUAUGUUGGAUCUCUUGAUAUAUCUUCACAAACUCCUGAGGCUUGGUUGGUUUUUUCUUUAAUCUUUUUCUAUUAGUUUUUUUUUUUUAAGUUGCAUAAUCUCCAGGUUCAAUGAUUUUUUUUAAAGCUCUACUAUCUAAAGCUUUUUUAAGGUAUCUGGGAUAAAAAUUCAAUUUCUUAAAGAAAAAAAUUUUAAAUUCAAAUAAGUUCUCUAAGGUCAAUUUUUUUUACCUUCAUAUCCUUUUAUUUUAUAAUAGUAAUAAAGAAAAUUAACAUUAUUUCUUCCAUUUUUAUUGCAAAAUAUUUUUUCAGAAGUAACUUCUGUUGGUAAUUUCUUGUAAGUGCCUACAGCANAGAAAUACAAGUAAAUUAGAUAUUAUGUUAGUCUUAUGAAAUGUGUUGGUACUUAUUUUUAUGGCAUAGUCCACAUCUUACAUUGUUGAGUGCUCUUUGGCUCUAAAAAUGUACAGAGUGAUAUUACUCUGUCUGGUGAUCCAUGGAUGUCAAUCAGAUCGAGUUGGAUUAUUAUAUUAUGGACAUUUCAUUUAAUUGUCCUUUCAAUUACUGAGAAUGUGUUGUAAAAAAAAAUCUCACACCAUCGUUUUGGAUUUCAUAUACUUCUUUAAAUUCUGUUCAUUUUUGCUUCAUUUUUAAAGCUUUAUUAGUAAGUACAUACACAUUUAGGAUUUUUGCAUCUUCAUUGUUUAGUUAUCUUUUCAUCAUUAUAAAAUAUUGUUCUUUAUCUUAAUAAUAAUUCUUAGCUAGAAAUAUAUUUGUGCAAUAUUUAUGUCUACACUAGUUUAAGAUACAAAUAUAUUUUGUAUGAUAUUAAUGUAUAGACCCAGAUUUUGUUAUGUUUAUUGUUUGCCAAGUAUGUUUCUCCAUUUUUGUAUUUUUUUCUCCAUGUAUUAUGGACAUUUCAUUUAGAGUCUUUUAGAAUUACUCAGAGUUUCUUAAAAAAAGCAUACAGUUGGGCCUUCCAUUUUUUUGUUUUUUAAAUCCAAUCGGAUAACAUGUGCCUUUGAUUCAAAGGUUUCAGUUGUCCCUGAUGUUGAUAGUAAUACAGUUAAUCUCAGGACUGCCAUUUUGUAUUUUUUAUUCUUUCUCAUCUGUUUUUUGGUUUUGACUUUGUUUCUUCAGGGUCAAACAGUGUCAUAACUUUUUAAUCUCUGAUUUAAAGAAAACAAAAUGUGCUAUACCCAUUGUAGUCUACCUGGAUUUGAUUCUGAGUUUUUUUAUAUUUUUCAAAAAUUUCCUGGGUAGGAAAUUACUAAAUUGUUUGCUGUGUGUCAGUCACCUAAGUACUUUACAUGCUUUAUAUGAUUUAUUUAUUGUUUUUUCUUUGUUCUUCAGUUACUCCUACCAUGAAUUCUUUUGGUAUGAUUGAAUUUUUAUUAUUUCACAUAUUUCUUCUAACGGGUUUUCCAUACAUCUUUUUUACUACUUUAGAGACACUUAAAGGGUUACAUAUAAUAUGCAUCUAUAAUCCAUCAUAGUCAACUUAGAGUUAAGAGUAUAUCAUUUAUAUAAAAUUCAGAAAUCUUGCAACAGCGUAAUUCUGUUUGUCUAUCUUGCCCAACAUUUGCCUAGUUUCCUGCCAUGUUACCAUUUGUUUUAUAUUUUACCUGUUAUAGAUCCCAAAUUAUGACAUAUUUAUUCAACAUAUUAUCAAUUAGCUAUUAAAGACACUCAGAGGAGAAAAGUCCAGGGUGCCCAUGCCCUUUGCCUGCAUGUUCUCACACCUUAGAUUCCAUGCUUUGACCCUUCAUUCCAAUGAAUACCAAUGUUUUUCUGCUUCGAUUCCAGCUAUCCCUGCAGUGUAUGGACUGGACCAUUUUCAGAGAAAGCUAGUAUGGAUGUAACUCUCACCAGUGCUUUAUUUUUUCUUCCAAUGGUCAAAAUUUCUCCAGUUUCAGCCUUUUUUUUUUAAUUCUUCAGUAGCUUCUAAUAGUUGUGGUUUUAAAAAAUAUUUCAUUCAGAGUUUGUCAUUGUUAUGUGUAAGAAGGUUAAUCUGAUAAGGGCAUUUCACUAUUUCUGCAUCUGAAUCUCCAAGAACUCUGCUUAAAUAUUAAUUGGUUGAUGGGUUUAUGGUUUACCAGAUCAAGUAGGCAAUAAAUAUUCAAACCACAAACCACAUGAGAAUCGGCCUGUGGUUACAAAUUCUCAGGUACAAUUCUUUGUAUCCAGAACUCUUGUUACAAGAGACAUUUCCAAUUGUGUGCCAAAGUACAUUUUUAUUCACUGUUUCAUUGUGAUAUGUGGUGGUCCAAAAUCCAACUGUCAUGGAGGAUCUUACACCCAGCAACACAGCCCGCUUUGAUGGAGGCCUGGGCUCUCAGCCCUGUGUGGCCACUAACACCCAAGCCUUUGACUGGUGGUGCUGGGCUUGAACCCAGGGCCUUGGGCUGUGAGGCAGGCCCUCUGCAGCUGCACCACACCCCUGCCCACCUUGAUUCUCACCACAUUGGCUCUCUCCAGGCAGUCAGGAACAACAUGCAGGUCUGUGUUCCAGUUUCUUCUUGGAUUUUCUUUCAGGUUAGACUAUUUACUUAAUAUGCCAUUUUAAUGUCUAGGGCCACCCACUGGAUACCUAAAAACAGACUUGUGGAAUUUUCCAUCAACACUCCUCCUCCAUGCCUAGAUAGGCCAGUACACAGCAUCACUAUUCACCCACUUUCUCAACUGCUUUCAAUUCUGCUCCAAGAAGCAUCUCAACUCUGCCCACUCACCUCCCUUGGCUGCAUCCUCCGACCACCAGCCCCUGAUGCCUCUUACUUGGUUUGUUGCAAGGCCUCCAACUAGGCCCCUUUCCACUCUUCUGUGAAAGGCCAACUAAUUGUGUAAAUGGAGGUCAUGUUAUGUCACUUCCCUCCUUCAAGCAGUCUAAUGGUGCUACAUUGUUUUAAUGUAACACUCAAACUCUGGCCCUGGGCCUGAGGUCCAGCAUCAAGAAUCACCUAUCCCUCCCAUUCCAGCUUCCAGAACCAGGCAUGCUGGCCUCGGACACUUCCUUUCGUCCAUGAUUUAAAAGAGUCAUUCUGUAUGUUGGAGACAGAGCACUUUAGGUCAAAGCCUUGAGCCUUCCAGCAGUAAGAGCAGCAUCCUCCCGUGUGGUAACUGGGAACGUGCGACUCCAGCCCACAAGAGCAGAAAACACUGGUCUUGGGUGGACACUUACAGUUGUUGCUAUUAUUUGAAGCAAUGAAACAGUUUGAUAGGACCGAACAUUUUUAGAUUUCUGGGAGAAAUCUUUCCAUCUGAUGAAACAUUUGAAUUUCUCAUUUAUAAUAUCCAUCUAGAGGGCGGUCACAAACCUGUCCCCUACCGUUCAACUCAGCAAACCCCUCGGGCUUCAGCGGCAGGCAGUCUGUUGUCACCACCCAGUCCUGAAUUACAGUGCAAAUAAACAAGCACAGCAAGGGACCCAAACCCUUUGUUUAUGGAUAGAAAGUCUGGCUUCCUGUAAUUGUCUCAGUCUCACAUCAUGAAAUAUUACCCUACUUUUGAUUCUUUCACAGACACUUAAAGAGAGUAAGCUCACCCUUGGCAUCUGGACCACUCCCAGCAGAGUGAUGCAGAUUUGGGGCCCUGGGACACACUCUGGAAACUCCUGACCUGGGGCGUCUCUGGCUAGGUGGAGCUUUGAGGCUGUGAAGUGGUCUGGAACCAGCUUGCUCUUUUCCUGGGACUCUGGAAUUCUGGCACAUUCCAGGAUGGCGCUGCUAACCAGCCUGUGCUCCUGUGCACCCCAGAGUGGCAAGCUAUUUUCUGGUGUAGCGGUACCAUUGUAUGUUACUGCAAGCAUGACUUCGUGCCUAUGUGUGUCGCUGUAUGCAGAGCUUGCACAGAGACCUGGUAGGGCGGGUGGAGGUGCUGUGCAUCCUCACGCCACUUGGUGCUGCACCAUUACUGUAGUGAUUCUGGCAAGUCCUGUAGCAGAAUCCUGUUGUGGUCUGAAUUUGCACUUCUCUGAUGGCUAAAGAUGCUAAACAUCUUUGCAUUUGUUUCUUUGCCAUCUGCAUAUCCUCUUUGGUAAGAUUUCUAUUUAUGUCUGCAUAUUUUCUUCUUGAGUUAUUUACAGGUAAGAGUUGAGAAUUUGUAUGCAGUCUGUAUAGAUACUAGAACUUUUAUAAAAAAGCAGUUUCCAAUAUUUUCUCCAAGGAUACAGGUUGUAUUUUCACCCCACCUGGGUCCUUUGCAUGGUAGAAGUUUAAUAUUUUAAUGAAGUUUAUUGCUUUUGCUGUCUACAUAUUGUAGUUUCACAGUUAACUCUAACAUCCUUUUGCCUAUCCUAAAUACCAAGGAUUUUCUUCUACAUUUUUUUGUAAGUUUUGUAGUUCCAAUUUUACAUUUAAGUCUGGUGAAUGAAUUCUUGUAUAAAGUGGAUGUGUGUUAGGUCCUGGCUCAUAUUUUUGUCCAGAGAUGUCCAGUUGUUCUAACAUCAUGGGUUGGAAAAGCUGUCCCUCCCCCCUUGAAUUGCUUUUGCACCUUUGCCAAAACUCAGCUGGCUCCACGUCUCAGUCCCAUGAAUCUGUCUGACUGUUGCACCCCUAACUCCAGAGUCUUGGUUAGUGAGGGUAUACAGUAGGUCUUGAAAUCAGGCAGACUGACUCUUCUCUCUUUAUGCUUUUCCAAAAUUAUUUUAGUCAUUCAAUUCCUUUGCAUUUCCAUAUAAAUUUUAGAAUAACCCCAUCUAUACCUAUUAAAUUUUUCUGUAAGUUGUUAGGUAUCACAUUAAAACUGUAAAUCAAUUUGUGGAGAAUUGACAUCUUUAGUGUUGUCUUCCAAUCCUUGAAUAUGGUCCUCGUAUCCUGAAAUCUUGCUGAACUCACUUAUAAAGUGUAGCAUUUGUAGGCAUGUUGGGGUUUACUACGUGAGCCAUCAGAAAGUCUCUCUCUCUCUCUCUCUCUCUCUCUCUCUCUCUCUCUCUCAUCCCUAUCCCUUUUUUUCCUGGCCUCAUUGCACUGGCUAGAACUUAUCGUCCUGUGUUGAAUAAGCAUGAUGAGAACAGACAUUCUUGUCUUAUUUCUAAUCUUAGGAGAAAGCGUGCUGUCUUUUACAAUUAAGUGUGAUGCUAGUUGUAGAAUUUGUAGAUUCAUUUUAUCAAGAUGAGGAAGUUCUUAUAUUCCUAUGUUUAUGAACCUUUAAAAAUCAUUCAACUUUGUCGAAUGCUGAACUGCAUCAGUUGAUAAGAUCAUGUGACUUUUCUUCUUCAGUCUAGGAACGUGGUGUUGGACAUUCACUGACUUUCCAAUGCAGAGAUGGCUUUGCACCCCUGGAAACACGCGCUGGUCCCUGCCGUCUGUGCAGCACACGUCGCCUCUAUUGCUCCUAGAGCAUGGGACCGAACCAAGCACAAGGGAAAACGAUACAAUCCAGAGUGGAGGGGACUGUGAGCCAUGGAGGCCAGCACUGGGAGCACAGCACACUGCCUUCCAGUGAACUUGUGUGACAGCAGAAAGGCACACUUUGGCAUAGAGACUAAGCGGAUCCUACAGCACGUCCCUGAACCAGAAACUGCCUUUAUUAUCAUCAUCCAGUGUCAUGUCCUAUCUAUACUGUGUGUGCUGUGCUUUAUACAAUUGGCCCUGUAGGCCAUCUGUCACACCAACAUCAACACACGAAUGAUGCUUGUGCUGUGAUGUCAUCAUGACUAUGACGUCACCAGACAGGAUGGUUCCAGUUUCAGCAUGUUAUAGAACCACCGUUGCUCACACAGUCCAUCAUUGACCAGAACACCUUUACUUGGUGUGUACAAUACGCUCAUGAGGUUGUGGGUCUGUAGGUUUCUUUCUUUACUAUCUAGUUUUAACAUUAAUGUAAUAUUAACUUUAAUAUUUUCUGAUAUGUGAUAUUUUAAAUAUUUUCUGUGUCUAGUGUUAAUAUCAAUGUGACAUUAGCUUUCUAAAAUGAUUUUGCCAGUGUCCUCUCUUUGAGUUUAAUGUAGGAGUUAUGUUGAUUCCUCCUUAAACCUUUUCGUAGAAUCUCCAGUGAGGCUGUCUGCACCUGGAGGCUGCUGUGCGGAGUGUAAAUGGAAACUCAGUUUCCUUGAUAUUUAUAGAGCCAUGCAAAAUGCCUCUUUCUACUGAGUCCGUCAGUGGUAGUUUGAUUCUAGAAGUGACCCAUUAAGGUAUCUCGUGUGUGUGGUGUGUGUGUAUGUGUGUGUGUGUGGUAUGUAUGUGGUAUGUGAUGUGUGUGUGUGUAAUGUGUGCUGUGUGUGUGUGUGUGUGUGUGGUGUGUGGGUGGCUAUUUGCAGAAUCAGCUCUAUUCCUUGCUGGAGGUGGGUCUACCCGGGUUUUCCACCUUUGAUGGAGGUGGGUUCUGCAGGGGUGGUUCUGUUUUCACUGUUGAUGUUGUGACUUACAUUUGUCCCUUGGCCCUUGUCAGUCUUACUGAGAUCCAUCAAUUUUUCUUUUCUUGUUUCCCUGAUGAUCUCUGCUUUCCUCUCAUGGACUUCUGCCUGGUCCUCGCAGCUUUCUUUCUUCUCCUUGCUUGGGCCUGGGUCAUUCUUCUUGUCCCAGCUGAGCUGGAUGAUGGAUGUGAGCCCGGCUAUGCCCCAAUGCAAGCCUUCAGUGCCACACAUUGCUCUUCCACCACGACCUUUAACGUAUUUCCAUUUCCAGGACUCCGUGUAUACUCUAGUUGUCUUGAGACUUUCUUUUUGAUGUGAGGAUUACUUAGAAGUGUGUUGUUUUGGUUUAAGUGUUUGGAGAUUUUGCUGUUAUCUUUCGUUUUUUGGUUCCUCAUUGGAUUCCUCUGGGAUCACAGAACACUCUGUAUCACUCCAAUUAUUUCAAGUGUGUUGCUGUCUCUGUCUAGUGGCUCACUAUGCAGUUCCCACUGGCGUGUGUUCCUGGAUAUUUAUAAAUGUGCAGAGGUGACAUCCUUGGAUCUCUGCGGCUGGGUGUCCUGUGAAUGUCCAUCAGGUCUGUUGCUUGGCGGAGCUUUGGAGACCCUCUGCACCCUUGCUGGUUUUCUCUUCAGUUGCGGAGAGGGCACACAGCUGUAAGUGUGGGUCUGUCCAUGUUUCCUUCUAGG